GACGAACGCUGGCGGCGUGCUUAACACAUGCAAGUCGAACGGAAAGGCCCUGCUUUUGUGGGGUGCUCGAGUGGCGAACGGGUGAGUAUCACGUGAGUAACCUGCCCUUGACUUUGGGAUAACUUCAGGAAACUGGGGCUAAUACCGCAUAGGACCUCCUGCUGCAUGGUGGGGGUUUGAAAGUUUCGGCGGUUGGGGAUGGCCUCGCGGCUUAUCAGCUUGUUGGUGGGGAAGUGGCUUACCAAGGCUUUGACGGGUAGCCAGCCUGAGAAGGUGACCGGCCACAUUGGAACUGAGGAACGGCCCGGAGUCGUACGGGGGGAAGCAGUGGGAAAUUUUGCACGAUGGGCGGAAGCAUUGUGCAACAGCGCCGCGUGCGAGAUGACGGCCUUCAGGUUGUAAACCGCGUUCGCCUGUGACGAAGCGUGAGUGACGGUAAUGGGUAAGAAAGGACCGGCUAACUACGUG
rnacentral:rRNA from 1 species